GUGCAUGCGGCAGCUACACAUGCAGUCGAGCGGAUGAAGGGAGCUUGCUCCUGGAUUCAGCGGCGGACGGGUGAGUAAUGCCUAGGAAUCUGCCUGAUAGUGGGGGAUAACGUCCGGAAACGGGCGCUAAUACCGCAGACCUCCUGAGGGAGAAAGUGGGGGAUCUUCGGACCUCACGCUAUCAGAUGAGCCUAGGUGGGAUUAACUAGUUGGUGGGGUAAAGGCCUACCAAGGCGAGAUCCGUAACUGGUCUGAGAGGAUGAUCAGUCACACUGGAACUGAGACACGGUCCAGACUCCUACGGGAGGCAGCAGUGGGGAAUAUUGGACAAUGGGCGAAAGCCUGAUCCAGCCAUGCCGCGUGUGUGAAGAAGGUCUUCGGAUUGUAAAGCACUUUAAGUUGGGAGGAAGGGCAGUAAGUUAAUACCUUGCUGUUUUGACGUUACCAACAGAAUAAGCACCGGCUAACUUCGUGCCACGCCCGGGGGGGAAAAUAACGUGCCACACCUGGGUAAAAUC
rnacentral:rRNA from 1 species